UUCAAUGACGUAUUUCCAUAAGUUAAAUAAUAAUGACAUAAUGUCAAGUUUCAUAUGAGACCUAUUUAAUAUUUUUUAUACAAUACGUUUCAGUUUUUUACAAGUACUUUUAAAUAAGCAAAUAAUGGGUUUUACGUAAUAAAAUUCGCCUAUAAAACUUUCUGAUACAUCAGUAGAUGGGAUUUAAAGUCCACUGGUGCAUUUUUUGGUUUCUACUUUUAAUUACUGUUGCAUUCCCAAUUGCUUUUCUGUGUAUGCCCCUGUAUAUUAUAUUUUCCAUUUUUGCACCUUGUUUUGAAGUUUGCGAGGUAAGACAAACAAUAUUCGUAUGAAAGAGCAGAAAAGUAUAACUACAGCUGGUUUAGUAGUUGCAUCAACAUUACCAAAGGAUGCAGACCAAAUUAUGAACCAAAAAGAGAUUAUGAAAUGAAUUUAUUAUUUGGUGUCGUUUGUGUACCUCACGCGAUAUAAACUAUAAAGAUCCAUCCUGAAUAGACAUUACACUUUAAACAUAAGGAAUUAGGGAUCAAAAUCAUAGUCCACUCUACUAUCAAAACCUUAUUUAUCUGUAUAAAGUUGUCUCAAAAUAGAAAGUGAGGUUAGAAUACUACCCUUUUUUGCUUAUAUUUCUCAAAAAACUGUUAAUUAUUGAUCGCAAAAAGAAGAAUAAUAAUUCUUAACAGUUGCUGUAAAUUUACAAUUAAUUUAGUUGAUGAUGUGUAUUUUUGGGAACAAUUUUAACACCUAAAAUUUAAGGUUAUGUUUCUCGUAAUAUUGUAUAUCUUCAUUCUGAACAGAAUAGCACGUCUUUCCAUGAGGUGCAAAUAAAGUUUAAUUUUAAUUCCGAAACUUCAAAGUUUAAUGUCUAUUGUGGAUUAACUUUUACUCAAAAGGCGCCUUAAAAGUGUAUCUAACGAACGCGUUAUUCGAUAAAGUGUAUUUUAUUUUUAGGAUUUUGUCGAAGUUUUACUUUUUGGUGUACAAUUUCCGAUGUAUUGCUCGGAAAGUAUGGUGUGUGGGGAUCCAUCUUGUUGUAAUAGAAAAUGCUGUUACUAAUAUUGGCAAACGAAUAAUAAAUAAUUUAAAGUAUAAAUUGUAUUUUCUUUAUUCAAGCGAUGAAUUUAACCCAACUCGUUGGAUGUGCUGUUACUCGGAUUUUACCAAGCACUACAACUACACUCCACAUUGCGCCAAACAAUCUCCCACUUUCAAGCUAAAUGGGAAAUUGGUGUAACACGUGGUCUCUUAUAUUUUCUGGGAUGAUUUUUCAAUUUUUUCCUUCGGUAUCUUCAUAACUGUUCCAAAUUAAUUUGAAGUGAAACUUCUAUAUAGACGGGGUAUUACGAUUUUUUCUGUCACGACAAAGCGUUAAGGCCGCGUGGAGGGGAUAGACGGUAUAUCGCGUGGUGAGAUGCAGCAGCUGCGGCUCUAUUAGAUGGAUAUAAUGCGCAGCCGCGCGGAGAGCGAGGAAUCCGUUAGAGUCCCGGCGGCGUGUGCUGUGCUCAGCACGGGAAAUAAGCGGCCAGCCAAGAAGGACAGAAUGAUCUUCGUAAUUCUUGAAUUGAUUUAGACCGUUACAAGUUUGUGGAAAAGACCCUCAAGCCAGACUUUAUCAAAUGCCUUUGAUAUAUCUAGGAAUGUGUCCUUAUGUUGGAAAACAACAAGAUGAUAAUUUUUCUAACCAAAAUAUGUCAGAAGAUUUGUCAGUUUGAUUAGAUUCGUGUUAGAAAUUUUGUAUUUUAUUUCUUAAAUUAAUGAAAUUUAUUGAAAAAAACAAUGGAAAAUACAUUAUCCCUUAUACAAUAUACAUCCAUAAGCUAAGUACAAACGGACUAUUUUCCAGGGAACGAAUUAAGAAAUAAAUUUAUUGCGGCAGGAAUUUUUAGAAUAUGUGCUGCUCUGAGUGCGGCUUUGUAUGGUGUUUGGUUUGGUUUAUUAUCCUCCUUCUCUCAUUCCCAAUUGCUAUAGUUGCAGCACCUUUCUACAUCAUUUGCUCUCCAUUUGCAGUUUGCUUGGACAUUUGUGCGGAUUUGUCAGACAUACUACUGUUUGGCAUACAAUUUCCCCUUUUUUCCGCAGACCGGAUGGUUUGUUGUCAACCGAUAAAUGUUAAAAUUGAAAGGUGUUGUGAUCAAGGUAACACUGCGGUAGAUAAACAAUCCGAUUGUGAAAAUAUUUCUGAAGUACAACACUGUUACUGACUUCACUUAUUAGCUUUAAAAAUUGUAACAUUUUAAAUUUAAUAAAAAUGAUAGUACUUAA
rnacentral:lncRNA from 1 species